GCGACAUUAUUUUUUCCUACCACGUUUUCACCUUUCGAAACUUUCCAACGCGUAGGUAUUUUUUACCGUAUACAAAUUAUUACACUCGUCGCAAUUUGCUCGGCGCACGGUAAAAAUAUUAACUGAAGUUUUAUCAUAACAGAAUACCAUGUAAUGAAAAGGUGUACAGAAUCACAGUAAUGAAAUGAAAAAGCAGCUAGAAACUGAAAUAACAAAUUGUAAAGAAGCAGAACGCGAUGAAAUUACACGGGCGCAGAAUAUGAGAUUGGUAGAGCGCGACAAAAUUUGAUUAGAAACAUUACGAAAU
rnacentral:misc_RNA from 1 species